UACGUAGGGUGCAAGCGUUGUCCGGAAUUAUUGGGCGUAAAGAGCUCGUAGGCGGUUUGUCGCGUCUGCUGUGAAAACUCGGGGCUUAACCCCGGGCCUGCAGUGGGUACGGGCAGACUAGAGUGUGGUAGGGGGAGACUGGAAUUCCUGGUGUAGCGGUGAAAUGCGCAGAUAUCAGGAGGAACACCGAUGGCGAAGGCAGGUCUCUGGGCCACUACUGACGCUGAGAAGCGAAAGCAUGGGGAGCGAACAGG
rnacentral:rRNA from 1 species